GCAGUAUCUACCACCGGAUCGGAAACGCGACCCACUGAGAAGAUCCGGCGAGAAACUCAUUGGGCUGUGUCUAUGGGUUAGUUUACUCAUCGAGCCCGUCGUCGCCAGCGACGCGACGGGUUCGGUGAGGACGGUGACCGGUGCUUGAGGUACCUAAAAGCACCGUUAAUGGAUCGGGAGAAUCCGUAAUGACGUAGACUACUACAGUACAAAAUAAUAAUUAAUUGCAAAAUGAUUAUUUCCACAUUGCAAAUAUUAAUUGAGUUUGAUGUUAAGGAAAUCUAAUUUCUAAACGUUAAAUUAGGUAUAUUGCGCUUUCCAGACUACAUUUUCAAAAUGGUAAUAAACGAUAGUUUCUAAUUGGAGGGUAGUUAUCAUUUUUGUUAAAUAGCUAUUCUUAAUUGCAACUGAAGAUAUUCCUAAAUAAUUUAAUAUGCUUGAAUUUUGGCAAACACUCAUUUUAACUGCAGUUUUUGUUGCAUUAACAAUAAUCUUAAUUGGGUUCACAAUUAUACCUUGGUGUAAACAAAGAAAGAUCCGUGAAGACAGAGAAUCUACUUGGGGCCGAAUGGCUUAUAAUCAUGAUACCUAUACAAUUGCAUCCCCAGUAAUGCCUCCAUACUUUUUUGUAAACGAACUUAGUUAUGAUGGUUAUAUUGCACCAUUUUAAAUAUUUUAAGUAUAGUGCAUAACGAACUAUCUUAAAAAAUAUAACUGUAUUUUGUUUUAUUUCAUAUAUAAAAAUAAAUUUUAUUUCAUGAAAUGGUUAUCUGAUGGAAUCUAAAUGUUAUUUUUAUAUUACUCAGAUAAAAAAUGAAAUUCCUAAAAUAAUUCUUAGAUGUGUCAGUUCACUUUUUAUUUUUUAUUGCAUAUAUUAUUUGUAUGAAUUAUUCCAUAUCAGUCUUUAAUAAAACAUGUCUAAAGGAA